rnacentral:rRNA from 1 species
GGGGAAUCUUAGACAAUGGGGGCAACCCUGAUCUAGCCAUGCCGCGUGAGUGAUGAAGGCCUUAGGGUUGUAAAGCUCUUUCAGCUGGGAAGAUAAUGACGGUACCAGCAGAAGAAGCCCCGGCUAACUCCGUGCCAGCAGCCGCGGUAAUACGGAGGGGGCUAGCGUUGUUCGGAAUUACUGGGCGUAAAGCGCACGUAGGCGGACUGGAAAGUUGGAGGUGAAAUCCCAGGGCUCAACCUUGGAACUGCCUUCAAAACUAUCAGUCUGGAGUUCGAGAGAGGUGAGUGGAAUUCCGAGUGUAGAGGUGAAAUUCGUAGAUAUUCGGAGGAACACCAGUGGCGAAGGCGGCUCACUGGCUCGAUACUGACGCUGAGGUGCGAAAGUGUGGGGAGCAAAC